rnacentral:rRNA from 1 species
GACGAACGCUGGCGGCGUGCUUAACACAUGCAAGUCGAACGGUGAAGCGCCUUCCUUUUUGGUGGGUGUGGAUGAGUGGCGAACGGGUGAGUAACACGUGAGUAACCUGCCCCCUUCUUCUGGAUAACCGCAUGAAAGUGUGGCUAAUACGGGAUAUUCUGGGUCUGUCGCAUGAUGGGUCUGGGAAAGAUAUUGUUUCGGUGGGGGAUGGGCUCGCGGCCUAUCAGCUUGUUGGUGGGGUGAUGGCCUACCAAGGCGGUGACGGGUAGCCAGCCUGAGAGGGUGGACGGUCACACUGGGACUGAGACACGGCCCAGACUCCUACGGGAGGCAGCAGUGGGGAAUAUUGCACAAUGGGCGCAAGCCUGAUGCAGCGACGCCGCGUGAGGGAUGGAGGCCUUCGGGUUGUGAACCUCUUUCGCCAGUGAAGCAGGCCUGCCUCGUUUGUGGGUGGGUUGACGGUAGCUGGAUAAGAAGCGCCGGCUAACUACGUG